ensembl:lncRNA
CCCAUAGCCGAUUGGCUUCAGACUGAGCAUUUCACAUUGGAAAUGGCUGCCAACAGUGAACUCAAGUUAGGGGUUAUAUUUAAUGUCAGACUGUCCUAUACCACUUUGCCCAACACAUUAUACCCCAGAGGUUGUAAAUAAACCCUUUAAAGUGAGUGCAGUGAGGACUUCAUGUGUGAGACGAGUAGAACUAACUUCCAGAAUCAUGGGAGGAGGAUUGAAAGUCCAUGCGCAUCCUUGGUCUUGAAGGAGAACAGGACGGCCCAGCGGUUACUUUCAGCGCUGCCUCCUCUGGUCCGAAGAGAGGUGAUGAUCCAGGGUCCCAAGAUGUCCAGUCCAACAUGAGUGAACGGAGGAUCAGAGGCACGUCUGUCUGCAGGAAAGUCUGACAUCUUUUGUUCUUCCAGUUUUCCUCUACGUUUUCUGCAGAUCACACACUUAUAGAUUAUGCUGGAUACCAGUCUUUUACUUCCAAUGAUCCACAAUCCAGCUGACCGGACUGCAC